CAGCCGCCGCGGGAACACGUAGGUGGCAAGCGUUGUCCGGAAUUAUUGGGCGUAAAGGGCUCGCAGGCGGUUUCUUAAGUCUGAUGUGAAAGCCCCCGGCUCAACCGGGGAGGGUCAUUGGAAACUGGGAAACUUGAGUGCAGAAGAGGAGAGUGGAAUUCCACGUGUAGCGGUGAAAUGCGUAGAGAUGUGGAGGAACAUCAGUGGCGAAGGCGACUCUCUGGUCUGUAACUGACGCUGAGGAGCGAAAGCGUGGGGAGCGAACAGGAUUAGAUACCCGUGUAGUCCCUGUCUCUUAUAC
rnacentral:rRNA from 1 species